AUUGAACGCUGGCGGCAUGCCUUACACAUGCAAGUCGAACGGCAGCAUAGGAGCUUGCUCCUGAUGGCGAGUGGCGAACGGGUGAGUAAUAUAUCGGAACGUGCCCUAGAGUGGGGGAUAACUAGUCGAAAGACUAGCUAAUACCGCAUACGAUCUACGGAUGAAAGUGGGGGAUCACAAGACCUCAUGCUCCUGGAGCGGCCGAUAUCUGAUUAGCUAGUUGGUGGGGUAAAAGCCUACCAAGGCAACGAUCAGUAGCUGGUCUGAGAGGACGGCCAGCCACACUGGGACUGAGACACGGCCCAGACUCCUACGGGAGGCAGCAGUGGGGAAUUUUGGACAAUGGGGGCAACCCUGAUCCAGCAAUGCCGCGUGAGUGAAGAAGGCCUUCGGGUUGUAAAGCUCUUUUGUCAGGGAAGAAACGGUAGUGGCGAAUAACUAUUACUAAUGACGGUACCUGAAGAAUAAGCACCGGCUAACUACGUGCCAGCCGCCGCCGUAA
rnacentral:rRNA from 1 species